rnacentral:lncRNA from 1 species
AGAUUAAACCAAGCAAUCUAUAUUAACAUAACAAGAAGUUCAUCCUUCAAUAGGGUCCAUCAAAACCUUAGACUAAAUAUUUAGCUACUCAUACUAGUGUUCAUCAUAACAAUAGCCAAAUUCAUCACAAAUGGUAAAAUACAAAAGGAAGAAAUGAAAAACUCUAUGUUGAAGUCUCUUCCUUGCCUCUUGCUUCUUCUUCCUUGAACUCAGCUAUCUAGAUCUUGAUAAUCCUCUUGUGGGCGAGCUGGACCUCUUUUAGGUUUUGUGGGAUUGCCCCCGAACUUCCAAGUUUACCCCUGAAAUUCAUUUUUCCGGAGCUGGACUAGCGCAGUCGCACUAGUGGGCGCGCUAAAGGCCGCGCAUAUGGCCUACCAUUCUGCCUCGAAUUCCUGGGCUAGCACGGGCGCGCUAGUCUGGGUUCUCAUUUCAGCCCUUCUUUUUCUCUUCUUCCCACGUACUCAGCUCCAAGGGCUUCCCUUGCUUCAAUCUAGCUCCAAUUACAUUUUUAAGUCCUCAUACGCGUAACUCGCUUCUGCAAAACAUGAAAUUCACAAUUAGAGCCAAUUUACCAUCAUUUAACUAUCCUACAACAGUCAAAUCUAGUCAAGCUGGGGCAUAAGCAGUCGCCAAAUUACAUAAAUCUAGCUUAUUAUCACUUCUCCCCGUGAUAUCCCUGAAAUUUAAACCCAUAACAGAAGUUGCCCGACUCCUUUUGCCACUGGUCAAGGAAGAGCUAUUUAUAUAUCUAUACUAUAAAUCUAUUUAUGCUAAAC